UUAGCUAUUAUAUAGUACUCAGACAUCACUAAAAACAGAGUUUGUUUCCUCUGGCAGGCACGCAUCAGCCGGAGCCUCUGGUGUUUCCACGGCCUGCCAAAGCAACGAAGGUAUAAUAUUCAAGGGUGGGAGAUCUACCCGUGAGGGCAUGAACUCUGUAAUGAUCCUUCCGCAGGUUCACCUACGGAAA
rnacentral:misc_RNA from 1 species